rnacentral:lncRNA from 1 species
AAAGAGUCAUGAUGAUCCUUGUAAUAAAUAACUGGCUUUUCAACGUUUGUGGGUGGUUCACAUGCGAAAAACCAUUGGCUAAUUGUUCUGACCAUAAUUUUUUUUUUCUUUAAGGUUUAGAAUUUAAGUCGAACAAACAAGGGCUAAUUGUUCUGGCUGUCUUAUUGGUUUUUGCUUCUUUGUUAAAUAUUACCUUAGUCUCUU